GUUGAAUCCUUUGCUCGCUCUAGGGUAUUAGCAUAAUUCUCUCGAUUCCGGCGUCGGACCUGCUGCUGUGGUCUUGCAUCUUCGCGAAGGCAGCGAUCAAUUUCCGAAGAUGAAGAUUUUUGUCAAGACUCUCAAGGGCUCGCACUUCGAAAUCGAAGUUCAGCCUGCAGAUACGGUUGCUGAUGUGAAGAAAAAUAUAGAAACUGUUCAGGGUGC
rnacentral:misc_RNA from 1 species